rnacentral:rRNA from 1 species
CCUACGGGAGGCUGCAGUGAGGAAUAUUGGUCAAUGGGCGCGAGCCUGAACCAGCCAAGUCGCGUGAGGGAUGAAGGUUCUAUGGAUCGUAAACCUCUUUUAUAAGGGAAUAAAGUGUGGGACGUGUCCUAUUUUGUAUGUACCUUAUGAAUAAGGAUCGGCUAACUCCGUGCCAGCAGCCGCGGUAAUACGGAGGAUGCGAGCGUUAUCCGGAUUUAUUGGGUUUAAAGGGUGCGUAGGCGGCGUUUUACGUCAGCGGUGAAAGGGUGUGGCAUAACCAUAGAAUUGCCGUUGAAACUGGGGGGCUUGAGUAUGUUUGAGGCAGGCGGAAUGCGUGGUGUAGCGGUGAAAUGCUUAGCUAUCACGAAGAACCCCGAUGGCGAAGGCAGCCUGCCAAGCCAUGACUGACGCUGAUGCACGAAAGCGUGGGGAUCAAACAGGAUUAGAUACCCGAGUAGUC